AAGAAAUGUGAUUGGACAACAGAAAGGGGCAGAGCCUUAUGGUAAUGAACUGUGGGGGGCGGGAGCGUGUUGCUGAGAGAGGCCUAUUUAUUCAGACGCUUCUCGGCCUCUCUGUGCUGCAUUUCUUUCCUCCAGAUACAGGGCGGUUCAUCUCUCACAUGAGGGUCUUACGAUCUACUUGCAGGAAAGGAAAGACGAUGCGAGGACACAGUGAGAAGAUAGCGUCCACAAACCAGAAAAAGAGAGCUCACCAGAAACCAACCCUGACAACAUCUUGAUCUUGGAGUUCCAGCCUCCAGAACUGUGAGAAAAAAAAUUUUUGUUGUUUAAGUCACCAGUCUGUGGUAUUCUGUUAUGGUUGCCCAAGCAGACUAAUACAGUAUACAAAAACUUGUAUUGUCACAAUUUACAUGUUUAUGCAUUGUAUGCCCACAAAUACAGAUUUACAACUUUUGCUCUAUGUAACUGUCUUUUAAGUCAGAUAAGAAAAAAAAGGAGUUACAACAAAAUACAUUUAUACUGCUUUUUUAUAUUUACCUAUGUGUUAACCUUUAUUAGUACUCUUUAAUUCUUCAUAUUGAUUUUAAUUUCUUUCUAGUGUUCUUUC
rnacentral:lncRNA from 1 species